AACGGCCGUACCAUGCUGAAUAUACCGGUUCUCGUUAGAUCACCGAAGUCAAGCAUCAUUGGGCGCGGUCAGUACUUGGGUGGGUGACCACCUGGCAAC
rnacentral:rRNA from 1 species